rnacentral:rRNA from 1 species
UACGUAGGUGACAAGCGUUGUCCGGAUUUACUGGGCGUAAAGAGCGCGCAGGCGGUCGAUCAAGUCGAGUGUGAAAGCCCCCGGCUCAACUGGGGAGGGUCAUUCGAUACUGAUCGACUCGAAGGCAGGAGAGGGUAGUGGAAUUCCCGGUGUAGUGGUGAAAUGCGUAGAUAUCGGGAGGAACACCAGUGGCGAAGGCGACUACCUGGCCAUG